UACACGCUGUGACUAGCAUAUCAAUAAGCGGAGAAAAGAAACUAACAAGGAUUCCCCUAGUAACGGCGAGUGAAGCGGGAAGAGCUCAAAUUUGAAAUCUUAAAGGGUUUCCCUUUACGAAUUGUAGUUUAAAGAAGUGUUUUCUGUUGAGGUUUUGGUAAAAGUUCUUUGGAAUAGGACAUCAUAGAGGGUGAGAAUCCCGUAUUUGACCUUUACUUUCAACUUUGUGAUACACUUUCAAAGAGUCGGAUUGUUUGGGAAUGCAGUCCAAAAUGGGUGGUAAAUUUCAUCUAAAGCUAAAUAUUGGCGAGAGACCGAUAGCGAACAAGUACCGUGAGGGAAAGAUGAAAAGAACUUUGAAAAGAGAGUUAAACAGUACGUGAAAUUGUCAAAAGGGAAGCGUUUGACACCAGUGUUGUUUUUCUGAAAAUCAAUUAAAGAACUGUUUAUGCUAAGUUGUUUAGACUUUAUCAGCUAUCUGUUUAGUUUUGAGCUUUUCUUUAAUGCACUUUUCAGUUAACAAGUCAACAUCAAUUUCUUUUGCUGUAAAAGAGCUUGAGGAAGGUGGCUUGAGAUUCGUCUUAAGUGUUUAUAGCCUCUUGCCUAUGCAGUCGGAGAGAUUGAGGUCUGCAGCGUAGAUCCUUCGGGGCUAAAUGCAUUUGUGCUAAGUUAUAGCAUUUUAUAGACAACUUGUUGACUAUGAUUUGUCUUGUAGCUUACUCGCUUAUGUUAUUUUACCUACGCUUAGGAUGUUGACGCGCGUGUGUGCGUG
rnacentral:rRNA from 1 species